rnacentral:lncRNA from 1 species
AUGCCCAAGUUUUAUUGUGACUACUGUGACACAUAUCUUACCCAUGAUUCUCCGUCUGUGAGGAAGGCACACUGCAGUGGUCGGAAACACAAAGAGAAUGUGAAAGACUAUUACCAGAAAUGGAUGGAAGAGCAGGCCCAGAGCCUGAUUGACAAGACAACGGCUGCAUUUCAACAAGGGAAGAUCCCUCCCGCUCCGUUCUCUGCUCCUCCACCUGCAGGGGCCAUGAUCCCACCUCCCCCAGUCUCUCGGGCCCUCCUCAGCCUGCCACGAUGCCUGCGUCCCACAUGGGAGGCCCUCCCAUGAUGCCAAUGAUGGGCCCCCCUCCGCCCGGAAUGAUGCCCGUGGGACCAGCUCCUGGGAUGAGACCACCCAUGGGAGGCCACAUGCCCAUGAUGCCCGGGCCUCCCAUGAUAAGACCUCCUGCCCGCCCUAUGAUGGUGCCCACCCGGCCUGGCAUGACCCGGCCAGACAGAUAA